rnacentral:rRNA from 1 species
CGGGUGAGUAAUGUAUGGGGGUCUGCCUGAUGGCGGGGGAUAACUACUGGAAGCGGUAGCUAAUACCGCAUAAUGUCUGCGGACCAAAGCGGGGGACCUCCGGGCCUCGCGCCAUCAGAUGAACCCAUAUGGGAUUAGCUUGUAGGUAAGGUAACGGCUUACCUAGGCGACGAUCCCUAGCUGGUCUGAGAGGAUGAUCAGCCACACUGGGACUGAGACACGGCCCAG